AUAAAGUGGAGCGAUAACGUCGAUGCGAUGAUGGUUCGGCCGGACAGCUGUGCGCCAGCCCUGGUUACUUAGAUUUGAAAGACGAAACUUGCGGAUAUGAAGUGAGGAAUUCAAGCAAUGUAACGCAUUUUUCUGAGACAGCGUCUUUGGGAAACCUGGUAAAUGUUUCCAACACGGCAUAAAAUAUACAAAACAAACGAAAAAAUCCCACAAAAACAAGACAAACUUCUCCAUUUUAUUUUUCCUCGAAAGCAUUUAAAGCUUUUUUCAAACAAGGAAAAUAGCAAAUUAAAAAAGAAAUAUAUAAAUGAAAAGAGGAAAAGAGAAGACAUUCUUUUAAGUGAGAACUGAGAACAAAGAAACAUUUGUUGUAAAUAACGAAUUUUUAAAAAAAAAUAAACAUGAAUACAUUUAAAAAAAAAGAGUGAAAUAUAUAUAUAAAUAAAAUAAACACAAAGAAUUACAAAAGAAGGCAAAAAACGAACGAAGGAGGACAUUUUGAAAUGGAUAACAAGGAUUACAUACACACAGAGUGAUUAUUAUUAUUAUUGUUAUUAUUUUGAUUAUUAGUAGUACUGCGAUUAUGUCUACUACAACUGCUGCUACAUUCUUCUACAGUAACAGAAACAGCAGCAAGAAACAUAGCACUUUUAAGAUUGUGAAGAUUUGCCUGGAACUUAACCAUCCAUUAAGAUAUCUUCUACGAAGAUUAUGUGGAGAAAACUGGCGGGGCUGAGUGUUGGCAAAAAGAAAAAAAAUAAGAUGGAAAUUAAUGAACUGCAUACAUCUUUUUUUAAUUAAAAAACCGUCUUAAUUAUAAUACUGUUUACAAAAUACUAAACAAAAACUUUCAAAAGAGAGAAAAUGAACAGCUAGACCUUCAAGAACUGAUUAAUGUCAAUGAUACUUAGAAUAAUGAUUGCUAAUGAUUAUGAUAGUUGUAGCCACAACAUGUGGCUAUACGAAACAUGAAAUGGUAAUGGAGCGUGUCCAAGGAUGGCUGAAACUAAUGUGAUUACUGUUAUUUUGUUUUGUUAAACACUGGUACUUACCACACACACACACACACAGCCACACACACGCACACACCAACAUACACACACACACUCCUCCUCCACUCUCUCUACCUCUCCCUGUCUCUCUAUCUCUCACGUAAUACAUAUUUAUGUGUAUAUGAAUCCAUAUGUAUUUAUGAGCGUUUACGUGAAACAUUUUUUGCAUGAAAUACAUAAUUUGGUAAAGCAUAAAGAAAAGAACUAUGACACAAAGCGCAUUCAAAAAAUAACGAAGCAUCAAAAGCGAACAGCAAUAACAACAACAGUAACGACAACAACAAUAACAACAAUAUCAACAACAAUAACAACAAAAUCAACAACAACAACAAGGUAUACUCUUUGUGUUAACAGUGUAAUAAGGGCAAAAUAUUUCAUGAAGUUAAAUAUCAAUAACAAAGCAACCGGAAACAAAGGCCCACACAUCUACAAAAACAUUGUCUUGUAAUGGAUACAAGAAUACAAAUGCACUUUACACACUGAAGAACACCAAUAAUAACAAUAAUAAUAAUUAAAAGACAAGCAUAUUUUGAAAGCGGUAAUAAAAUUUAUAUGAAAGACGCAAAAAAUUAACAACAAUACAAUAAUAAUAAUAAUAACAACAACAACAACAAUAAUAAUAAUAAUAACAGCAAAAACAAUGACAGCAGUUACAUUUACUCUCUUACGUUAACAUGUGAAAACGAAGUAUAAAAUAAAAGACAAAUAAUUAUUGUACCAUUUAA